rnacentral:rRNA from 1 species
UACGGAGGAUGCGAGCGUUAUCCGGAUUUAUUGGGUUUAAAGGGUGCGCAGGCGGGAGAUUGAGUCGGCGGUGAAAUUUUGCAGCUCAACUGUAAAAGUGCCUUCGAAACUGGCUUCCUUGAGUGUAGAUGAAGUAGGCGGAAUUUGUGGUGUAGCGGUGAAAUGCAUAGAUAUCACGAGGAACUCCGAUUGCGUAGGCAGCUUACUAAACUACUACUGACGCUCAGGCACGAAGGCGUGGGGAUCAAACAGGAUUAGAUA